rnacentral:tRNA from 1 species
GGGGCCGUAGUGUAGCCUGGCUAGCACAGCAGGCUCCAGACUUGGCCCCCGGGAAUUCAAAUCCUGGCGGCCCCA